UACGUAGGGUGCAAGCGUUAAUCGGAAUUACUGGGCGUAAAGCGUGCGCAGGCGGUUCGUUAAGUUCGCCGUGAAAGCCCCGGGCUCAGCCUGGGAACUGCGAUGGAAACUGGCGGGCUUGAGUGUGGCAGAGGGGGGUGGAAUUCCGCGUGUAGCAGUGAAAUGCGUAGAGAUGCGGAGGAACACCGAUGGCGAAGGCAGCCCCCUGGGCCAACACUGACGCUCAGGCACGAAAGCGUGGGGAGCAAACAGG
rnacentral:rRNA from 1 species